UCAUUAUCUCCUCAUCAAAUCUAAGAAUUCUAGUUACAUGUGAAAAAACCCAAAUUGUUCACAGAAUACUAAGCCCAAAGCGAAUAGGGUUCAAUCUUACAGUAACAUUUUCUCCCCGCUCUGUAUGCUAUUUCCACUGUACAAAAGGUUUACACACACAUUUUUCUCAUUAGCUAAUCCACAAACACCAAGGCAAGCUCCCUGUUAACAGCUGCUUGCCUGCAGUGGCUCAGACACUGGUGGGUCACAAGCUGAUUAUUUGGUCUAGUGUGUGACUAUGACCUCUCUGAACUGGUCCUCAGCAUCAGGAAACGGAACACAACAGAAUGUGUUAUGAAGUCAAAUUCUGAAUCAGCAAUAAUUUUUGACCUAAUACAACAAUAUGUGCAGCUGCUUUACUUAAAUGUGUAAACAAUGCAAGAGGAAGGAGUUUUUUUCCAGUGCACAAGGAGAAGGCAAAAAAUUGACAUAAUAAACUAAGGAUUACCUGCAUCA